rnacentral:rRNA from 2 species
CGGACAGUGUCUGGUGGGUAGUUUGACUGGGGCGGUCUCCUCCUAAAGAGUAACGGAGGAGCACGAAGGUUGGCUAAUCCUGGUCGGACAUCAGGAGGUUAGUGCAAUGGCAUAAGCCAGCUUGACUGCGAGCGUGACGGCGCGAGCAGGUGCGAAAGCAGGUCAUAGUGAUCCGGUGGUUCUGAAUGGAAGGGCCAUCGCUCAACGGAUAAAAGGUACUCCGGGGAUAACAGGCUGAUACCGCCCAAGAGUUCAUAUCGACGGCGGUGUUUGGCACCUCGAUGUCGGCUCAUCACAUCCUGGGGCUGAAGUAGGUCCCAAGGGUAUGGCUGUUCGCCAUUUAAAGUGGUACGCGAGCUGGGUUUAGAACGUCGUGAGACAGUUCGGUCCCUAUCUGCCGUGGGCGCUGGAGAACUGAGGGGGGCUGCUCCUAGUACGAGAGGACCGGAGUGGACGCAUCACUGGUGUUCGGGUUGUCAUGCCAAUGGCACUGCCCGGUAGCUAAAUGCGGAAGAGAUAAGUGCUGAAAGCAUCUAAGCACGAAACUUGCCCCGAGAUGAGUUCUCCCUGAGACUUAGAGUCUCCUGAAGGAACGUUGAAGACGACGACGUUGAUAGGCCGGGUGUGUAAGCGCAGCGAUGCGUUGAGCUAACCGGUACUAAUGAACCGUGAGGCUUAACCUU